rnacentral:rRNA from 1 species
AUUGAACGCUGGCGGCAGGCCUAACACAUGCAAGUCGAACGAGUGGCGGACGGGUGAGUAAUGUCUGGGAAACUGCCCGAUGGAGGGGGAUAAAUACUGGAAACGGUAGCUAAUACCGCAUACCAUCGGAUGUUCCCAGAUGGGAUUAGCUAGUAGGUGGGGUAACGGCUAACCUAGGCGACGAUCCCUAGCUGGUCUGAGAGGAUGACCAGCAACACUGGAACUGAGACCCGGGCAAGCGUCCUACGUGAGGCAGCAGUGGGGAAGAUGGAACAAUGGGCGCAAGCCUGAUGCAGCCAUGCCGGGGGUAUGAAGAAGGCCUUCGGGUUGUAAAGUACUUUCAGCGAGGAGGCGUUACUCGCAGAAGAAGCACCGGCUAACUCCGUGCCAGCAGCCGCGGUAAUUC